GAUGAACGCUGGCGGCGUGCCUAAUACAUGCAAGUCGAGCGAACAGACGAGGAGCUUGCUCCUCUGACGUUAGCGGCGGACGGGUGAGUAACACGUGGAUAACCUACCUAUAAGACUGGGAUAACUUCGGGAAACCGGAGCUAAUACCGGAUAAUAUAUUGAACCGCAUGGUUCAAUAGUGAAAGACGGUUUUGCUGUCACUUAUAGAUGGAUCCGCGCCGCAUUAGCUAGUUGGUAAGGUAACGGCUUACCAAGGCAACGAUGCGUAGCCGACCUGAGAGGGUGCUCGGCCACACUGGAACUGAGACACGGUCCAGACUCCUACGGGAGGCAGCAGUAGGGAAUCCUCCGCAAUGGGCGAAAGCCUGACGGAGCAACGCCGCGUGAGUGAUGGAGGUCUUCGGAUCGUAAAACUCUGUUAUUAGGGAAGAACAAAUGUGUAAGUAACUAUGCACGUCUUGACGGUACCUAAUCAGAAAGCCACGGCUAACUACGUG
rnacentral:rRNA from 1 species